AGCCGAGAGGCCCACCUUUGCAAGGGAAUUGGUGCCUUCCAAGAAGACACUCAGCUCUGUGACAGCCAGGACCCCAGUCACCAGGUUCAAAGCCGCACAGAGAUCUAAUAACAUGUAUCUGAGGCCAGAGUAAAUGAGGAACUUUUUGCAAAGAAGCAUAAAAGGAAAGAGAUCUUGGAAUACCUAGCUAAUCUCAGUUGCUGUCUCUGCUCUGAAGCCCUGCCUUUGAAAGCUCUAUUUCUCCUCCCAUCCUCUGCGAAAGCCAGAUGAGACUUCUUGACAUUAAGCAAAUGCUGGUAUACUGACUUUGGUGUGGGGUUUGUACAUGUGCCUGUUGAGAGCUGGAUCCUUCCCGUGGGUGGAUGCUGGCAUGGUGGCUCUUCCAUCUAAGGAUCCAUCUGGAAAAGUGGCCGAUUUCAUCACUUACGUGCCAGGACCUCAGAUGCCGAGGCAGGGGAAUGCUGCAAUCUAAACAUUUACAUUCUAAAAAAUGGGAAAUCAUCUGCUUCGAUAUAAAUUAGCCAGGGCCUGA
ensembl:lncRNA novel transcript